ACGCGUAUAGCUCAGCUGGUAGUAGCAUCGGUCUCCAAAACCGAAGGUCUUAGGUUCGAAUCCUAAUGCGCGUG
rnacentral:tRNA from 1 species